UAUAGAUGGAUCCGCGCUGCAUUAGCUAGUUGGUAAGGUAACGGCUUACCAAGGCAACGAUGCAUAGCCGACCUGAGAGGGUGAUCGGCCACACUGGAACUGAGACACGGUCCAGACUCCUACGGGAGGCAGCAGUAGGGAAUCUUCCGCAAUGGGCGAAAGCCUGACGGAGCAACGCCGCGUGAGUGAUGAAGGUCUUCGGAUCGUAAAACUCUGUUAUUAGGGAAGAACAUAUGUGUAAGUAACUGUGCACAUCUUGACGGUACCUAAUCAGAAAGCCACGGCUAACUACGUGCCAGCAGCCGCGGUAAUACGUAGGUGGCAAGCGUUAUCCGGAAUUAUUGGGCGUAAAGCGCGCGUAGGCGGUUUUUUAAGUCUGAUGUGAAAGCCCACGGCUCAACCGUGGAGGGUCAUUGGAAACUGGAAAACUUGAGUGCAGAAGAGGAAAGUGGAAUUCCAUGUGUAGCGGUGAAAUGCGCAGAGAUAUGGAGGAACACCAGUGGCGAAGGCGACUUUCUGGUCUGUAACUGACGCUGAUGUGCGAAAGCGUGGGGAUCAAACAGGAUUAGAUACCCUGGUAGUCCACGCCGUAAACGAUGAGUGCUAAGUGUUAGGGGGUUUCCGCCCCUUAGUGCUGCAGCUAACGCAUUAAGCACUCCGCCUGGGGAGUACGACCGCAAGGUUGAAACUCAAAGGAAUUGACGGGGACCCGCACAAGCGGUGGAGCAUGUGGUUUAAUUCGAAGCAACGCGAAGAACCUUACCAAAUCUUGACAUCCUUUGACAACUCUAGAGAUAGAGCCUUCCCCUUCGGGGGACAAAGUGACAGGUGGUGCAUGGUUGUCGUCAGCUCGUGUCGUGAGAUGUUGGGUUAAGUCCCGCAACGAGCGCAACCCUUAAGCUUAGUUGCCAUCAUUAAGUUGGGCACUCUAAGUUGACUGCCGGUGACAAACCGGAGGAAGGUGGGGAUGACGUCAAAUCAUCAUGCCCCUUAUGAUUUGGGCUACACACGUGCUACAAUGGACAAUACAAAGGGCAGCGAAACCGCGAGGUCAAGCAAAUCCCAUAAAGUUGUUCUCAGUUCGGAUUGUAGUCUGCAACUCGACUACAUGAAGCUGGAAUCGCUAGUAAUCGUAGAUCAGCAUGCUACGGUGAAUACGUUCCCGGGUCUUGUACACACCGCCCGUCACACCACGAGAGUUUGUAACACCCGAAGCCGGUGGAGUAACCUUUUAGGAGCUAGCCGUCGAAGGUGGGACAAAUGAUUGGGGUGAAGUCGUA
rnacentral:rRNA from 1 species